UUUAUGUCUAUUGCAUUAUGCCUGAAUAAUUUUCAGUCUUUUUUUUUUUCCUCUCCUCUUGCACGCACAUGCUAAAAUAACUAGACAAAGAUGCAAGGUGGUUGCUGCAGUCCCUGUCUCUAGGACAGAACCAAGAAAGCUUGUGAUUGCAAUACCACCUUUCCUUUUUUUUUUUUUUUUCCUCCUUUUUUUUUCUUCCCUAGCCAUGCUUGGUGAUUAAACUUCCUCAGGAUGGGGAAGAAAAAGGAGCUGGAAAUGAAAUAGGGUUGAGGAAAAAUCCCAUUGCAGCAGCUGCAGCCAGUGGUGACUGCUGCCAGAUGUGCGAAGGUUCCUGGGGUCCUUGUCACUAAAAGGCAGUAUUCAAAUAUUUGGAGACAAAAGCUGCAUCCUCAGUGAUCAUUUUCUUUAUUUAACAUGGCAGCAGGCAUCGUGUGGGGAAAAAUCAACAUGCUGGAUGUUGAAUCGGACUUUUAUCCUUUCUGGGAUGAAAGGAUGUUAUCUAUCCCGUGCCAAGAGGGAACUGAGGUACUGGUCUCUUAG
rnacentral:lncRNA from 1 species